rnacentral:rRNA from 1 species
UGGGAAUUUUGGACAAUGGGCGAAAGCCUGAUCCAGCAAUGCCGCGUGUGUGAAGAAGGCCUUCGGGUUGUAAAGCACUUUUGUCCGGAAAGAAAUCCUUGGCUCUAAUACAGUCGGGGGAUGACGGUACCGGAAGAAUAAGCACCGGCUAACUACGUGCCAGCAGCCGCGGUAAUACGUAGGGUGCAAGCGUUAAUCGGAAUUACUGGGCGUAAAGCGUGCGCAGGCGGUUUGCUAAGACCGAUGUGAAAUCCCCGGGCUCAACCUGGGAACUGCAUUGGUGACUGGCAGGCUAGAGUAUGGCAGAGGGGGGUAGAAUUCCACGUGUAGCAGUGAAAUGCGUAGAGAUGUGGAGGAAUACCGAUGGCGAAGGCAGCCCCCUGGGCCAAUACUGACGCUCAUGCACGAAAGCGUGGGGAGCAAACAGGAUUAGAUACCCUGGUAGUCCACGCCCUAAACGAUGUCAACUAGUUGUUGGGGAUUCAUUUCCUUAGUAACGUAGCUAACGCGUGAAGUUGACCGCCUGGGGAGUACGGUCGCAAGAUUAAAACUUAAAGGAA